AAUGAACGCUGGCGGCGUGCCUAACACAUGCAAGUCGUACGAGAAAGGGGCUUCGGCCCUGAGUAGAGUGGCGCACGGGUGAGUAACGCGUGGGUAAUCUGCCCUUGGAUUUGGGAUAACUCUGCGAAAGUGGAGCUAAUACCGGAUAGUCUGGCUUUAAUUGAUAAGUCGGUAAAGGAUGCCUCUGCAUAUGCAUUCGUCCAAGGAUGAGCCCGCGUCUCAUUAGCUAGUUGGUAGGGUAAUGGCCUACCAAGGCAACGAUGAGUAGCUGGUCUGAGAGGAUGAUCAGCCACACUGGAACUGAAACACGGUCCAGACUCCUACGGGAGGCAGCAGUGGGGAAUAUUGCGCAAUGGGCGAAAGCCUGACGCAGCAACGCCGUGUGAGGGAUG
rnacentral:rRNA from 1 species